rnacentral:rRNA from 1 species
CCCUUAGAUGUUCUGGGCCGCACACGCGCUACACUGAAGGAGGCAGCGUGUACUCCUGGAUCGAAAGAUUUGGGUAACCCGCGAAUCUCCUUCGUGCUAGGGAUUGAGGUUUGCAAUUAUCCUUCAUGAACGAGGAAUUCCCAGUAAGUGCAAGUCAUACGCUUGCGCUGACUACGUCCCUGCCCUUUGUACACACCGCCCGUCGCUACUACCGAUUGAAUGAUUUAGUGAGGACUUCGGACUGGGACCGAUGCGGCUUUCGGGCUGCGUCGGUAUUCUGGAAAGAUGUCCAAACUGUAUCAUUUAGAGGAAGUAAAAGUCGUAACA